CGGAGAGCAUGCCUGUUUCAG
rnacentral:rRNA from 1 species